rnacentral:rRNA from 1 species
AUUGAACGCUGGCGGCAGGCUUAACACAUGCAAGUCGAGCGGGGGAGGUUGCUUCGGUAACUGACCUAGCGGCGGACGGGUGAGUAAUGCUUAGGAAUCUGCCUAUUAGUGGGGGACAACAUCUCGAAAGGGAUGCUAAUACCGCAUACGUCCUACGGGAGAAAGCAGGGGACCUUUGGGCCUUGCGCUACUAGAUGAGCCUAAGUCGGAUUAGCUAGUUGGUGGGGUAAAGGCCUACCAAGGCGACGAUCUGUAGCGGGUCUGAGAGGAUGAUCCGCCACACUGGGACUGAGACACGGCCCAGACUCCUACGGGAGGCAGCAGUGGGGAAUAUUGGACAAUGGGGGGAACCCUGAUCCAGCCAUGCCGCGUGUGUGAAGAAGGCCUUUUGGUUGUAAAGCACUUUAAGCGAGGAGGAGGCUACUGGUAUUAAUACUACCGGAUAGUGGACGUUACUCGCAGAAUAAGCACCGGCUAACUCUGUGCCAGCAGCCGCCGCCGUAA